rnacentral:rRNA from 1 species
AGGAUAAACGCUGGCGGCGUGCCUAACACAUGCAAGUCGCACGAGAAAGGGGCUUCGGCCCUGAGUACAGUGGCGCACGGGUGAGUAACACGUGAAUUAUCUACCUCCGAGUGGGGAAUAACUGAGAGAAAUCUUAGCUAAUACCGCAUAACACUUACGAGUCAAAGCAGCAAUGCGCUUGGAGAGGAGUUCGCGGCAGAUUAGUUAGUUGGCGGGGUAAUGGCCCACCAAGACGAUGAUCUGUA